GAAAAGCGAUUNUGUCUAUGGGACGACGGGACGUCGAUCCAUGGAAAACCAAGAACCUAAAGAAGAGUCACUAGAAAAGCGAUUUGUAUAUGGAAAUGGACGUCGAUUUAUGACAAAAUCCAGUGAAAGUCAUGUUGCUAAGACAGACAACGAUUUGAGCCGCCGACGUGAUGCCAAACGCCAGAGCUCGAAGGACGAAGAAUAUGUUACGAAAGAUGACGCAAAAAUAAGAGAAAUGUUAGCGAAUCUUCUGAAAAGCGAAUGAAAAGUGGGAUUCAGCAUAGAAAUAAAUGGGUUGUAGAAAGUCGUUCUUGUGCAACUGCUUCAUUCGUUAUCCAGAUUCACUCAAAAUUCAAGAUAUAUAGAUAAAAGAUAUGUAGCUCGAUGUGCGCAUGCGCACCACAUUAUACUGUAAUAAUAUUGUCUAGUUACAGGAAGUAAUAAGGUGCUCAAAGCAAGAGACCUUGGUCUUGUUUGAACAAGUAUCCAACAACAUGGCUAUGUCAUGGAUUUAACUAAUUUUUUUGCUUUAGAUUAACAGUUUCCUUUUAAGCUGCGGUACGUAAUACGCGAGCAACGACAUUGUACUACUUAAUAGAGAGUUUUAGAUUGACGUUCACGGCAAACGUGAAACGUYAGUUGACCAGUAAAAUUUUUUWWWAAAAUUACUGAAAAAGAAUCGCAAAAAAGUCCAAGUAGUAGAAAAACAAAAGAGUAUUUGCGCUUGGUGAGAAGGUUGGUAAAAGGUAAAGUAAAAUAUAGGAAAACUAUAUGAAAACGGGAGAAAAAAAGUCAAUCUAAAACUCUCUAUUAGCGAAAUUAUUACGCCAUAGAUUACAUAUCAGAUGUUGUUUGUAUUACCCUCGACCUUGAUCACAGGGCGCCAUUUUCAUUGCCAUGAUCAAGAAUAAAAAAACGUCCCGCUUUACCUCGUUCUGAAACGCUUUCAUGCGAGGUUUCGCGGGGAAAAUGUGUUGUUCGUGUCAACAUGGCUGCCGCUUGAGUAAGGUCUACCUUUGAAUCGAAGUAAUAUUCAUUUCUAUUUCUYGUAUAAACAUGGAUGAUUUCAUCAAAUGAUUCUUGUAGAAAAAGCUCACAUAAACGUGAAUUAGACAUUUAUUAUAUAUUGUUAAUUAUUUUAUAAAUAAGAGAGGUGUGUUGAAAGAGGAUAAUAUUUUUAAUAUGCAACGUAAUGCCUCGUUAGGCUUAGUGGGACUUUUUUAAUAACACUGAAUAAAUUUUUUGUACGUAGAUAAAAAAA